AUUGAACGCUGGCGGCAGGCCUAACACAUGCAAGUCGAGCGGAGCGGCGGACGUGUGAUUAAUGCCUAGGAAUCUGCCUGGUAGUGGGGGAUAACGUCCGGAAACGGGCGCUAAUACCGCAUACUAUCAGAUGAGCCUAGGUCGGAUUAGCUAGUUGGUGGGGUAAAGGCCUACCAAGGCGACGAUCCGUAAAUGGUCUGAGAGGAUGAUCAGUCACACUGGAACCGAGACACGGUCCAGACUCACACGGGAGGCAGCAGUGGGGAAUAUUGGAAAAUAGGCGAAAGCCUGAUCCAGACAUGCCGCGUGUAUGAAGAAGGCCUUCGCAUUGUCAAGAACUUUAAGUUGGGCGGCGUUACCAGCAGAAUAAGCACCGGCUAGCUUCGUGCCAGAAGCCGCGGUAAAAC
rnacentral:rRNA from 1 species